GACGAACCGUGCGAACGUUGUUCGGAUUCACUGGGCUUAAAGGGCGCGUAGGCGGGGGGUCAAGUCCGAGGUGAAAUCUUUCGGCUCAACCGGAAAAGUGCCUUGGAUACUGACUCCCUCGAGGGAGGUAGGCGCAUGUGGAACUUCCGGUGGAGCGGUGAAAUGCGUAGAUAUCGGAAGGAACGCCGGUGGCGAAAGCGACGUGCUGGACCUCUUCUGACGCUGAGGCGCGAAAGCCAGGGGAGCAAACGGG
rnacentral:rRNA from 1 species